rnacentral:tRNA from 1 species
GAGGGUGUAGCUUAGUGGUAAAGCACAUGCUUAGCAUGCAUGAGGUCCCCGGUUCCAUCCCCGGUACCUCCA